ACGACACCGUCGGGGCAGUUUUGGCACCGCCCCACACCUCGCCCGCCUUCUUCCUACAGCCUGUGCCAGCCACCGCCUCGACCGCCGCCGGAGAACCUCCACCCAUGCCUCCCGCGCCGUCCACGCGCCACGCACCGCCGCGCUGUCCGCACCCGCGGCGCCGAUCAGGCCGACCAGGGGUUGGCGCCGCUUGGCAGGGGCAGCAGCAGCACGCCCCCGACAUAGACGCCUCCGGCCCUGGACGAUCUGAAUCGUCCGUCUGAUUUUUUGCCCGGCAAGGGCAGCAGCAUGCCUCCGACGCGGACGCCUCCGGCCAUGGGGUUGUUGGAUGCCCUGGGGUUGCUGCUGACGCCUUGCGCCCUGCUGUAGUUGGCUGCUGCAAAAGCAAACUGAAUCUCCUGCUGUUGUUGGCUGCUGCAGACGCAAACUGAAUCUCCUGCUGUUUAUGGCUGUAGCAGACGCAAAAUGAAUCUCCUGCUGUUGCUAGCUGUUGCAGACGCAUAUCCUGCUGUCGCUGGCUACUGCAGACGCGGAUGCUCAGGUUCAGGAUGCAUAUACGGUUUUUAAGCGAGGAAUUUUUCUCUCAAAGUCGAGCGAUCUGGGUAACUAUCAGAGAUGGAAUUACCGGAGAGACACUAAUGUGAUUAUCUUAAAAUGUUAUUAAGGAUGCACCGGCUAUCCUAAUCUCAGCCCGGAGGUGGAAAAACCAGUUGUUCAUGCACAGUCCAAAAACACAUAAUUUUUUAGAAGAUCUUAUAUUCAGUCCUCCUGCUCUUGAAAGGCAAGAUUUUUCUGACUUGCAUCUAUUUGCUAGAAUUGGUUGUAGAUG